rnacentral:lncRNA from 1 species
GAACUCCUGGGACCCUUGGACAGAAGAGACAUGCUGAAUGAAGGUUUUGCCGGCUCAGCUUUAACACCUGAAGGAGGAAACCCAUUUCCAGACCUUCUUCCUUCCAGUGGUUCAACACCCAAGCAUACUAUUCAACAGAAAAUACCAAAUGGCCCUUCAAACAGACGGGCAAUUGAAAGAAAGAAUGAGGUGAUGGAGGAGACAGAGGAGGAAGAGGAGGAGGAGGAGGAGGCAGCGGCCUGCACUGACUCUUCAGUGGCUACCACCUGGGAUGCAGAAGGAGAACUGAGGGAAGACCACAGGAGACAGGACACUGAAGAUGUUGGUUCUCUCAGAAUGGUUCACUUUGGUUUGGUGUAAUGAUUAGAAACACCAAAAAGAAAGCUGUCCUUUUUAUAUCUUUUCUAUUGACCUUAUCAACAAAAGUCUUCACGCAUGGACUGUAGUAGAAGGAAAGCUAGUGCAUGCAGCACAGCGUAACAUAGCUAAGCAGCCCUCAGUAAAAGUUCCUAAACAAU